rnacentral:rRNA from 1 species
AUACGUAGGGGGCAAGCGUUGUCCGGAAUUAUUGGGCGUAAAGCGCGCGCAGGCGGUCAUUUAAGUCUGGUGUUUAAUCCCGGGGCUCAACUCCGGGUCGCACUGGAAACUGGGUGGCUUGAGUGCAGAAGAGGAGAGUGGAAUUCCACGUGUAGCGGUGAAAUGCGUAGAUAUGUGGAGGAACACCAGUGGCGAAGGCGACUCUCGGGGCUGUAACUGACGCUGAGGCGCGAAAGCGUGGGUAGCAAACAGGAUUAGAUACCCUGGUAGUCCACGCCGUAAACGAUGAAUGCUAGGUGUUAGGGGUUUCGAUACCCUUGGUGCCGAAGUAAAUACAUUAAGCAUUCCGCCUGGGGAGUACGGUCGCAAGACUGAA